ensembl:lncRNA
GCCUUGGCCCUUUGGACAUGCUGUUGGAGCAGCGUGAGCAAUGAUGCCGUUUACUUCAGGUUAUAAAAACUGGGAGGAGGAAAUUGCCAGGUCAAAGUCACUUGCAAGAGGAGACUCCUCUCUUACUAAAGCAGCUGCCUCCGAGUCCAAAUGCUGAGUCCACCUCUGGGCUCUCUUUUGGUGCUUCUCUCCUCUUCAAUAAACUGGACCCUGAUCCAAAGACAGGUUUGUUCAUCAGCCUCGUGCUGUUUAUCAUCGGCGACGAGCCUUCUGGUGCUUGCUGGAUGUAACAGCAACUCCAUGUGGAAGCUGUGUCAGUUCCAGUGGAGGUGCUGUUACUUGCAGAGAUCUACCAAAGACGACAAGAAGCCAGCACGCAAUUGCUUUUAUUUUCCAUUCUGCUUUUUUUGUGAGUGUGGGUUACUGCAUCUUUGAAAGAUCGAUAUGUAGCUAAAGAGAGAUGGGGCACAAGGUGAUGACCUAUGAAUUGACAGCCAGUGAUUUCCAGCCUCUGCCUGUCAGUUCUGUAGGCCACUGCCGCGUUCGUCCUGCUGAGCGUGUACAGGUACACAACGGUUUUAUCUCCCACGUGCCUUCACUAAUAAAUAAACUGUGACUUUUUUGUGAUUUUUUUUUUUUUUUAAAGAUGGCAUUGCUGAAGAAAAGCAUAUACGGUGAAUAAAGCCUUAUUGUGUUGCUCAGCGAGUCUCUCAUUUUGCACUGAUGGUCUAUUCAAAUAACCACCUGUAACCUCAAACAGUGAAAUUGUAAAUGACGAGCUCACCCUGAAAGUGCGCCAGCAUAUUGCACGAAUAUAUUUAUGAUCUACUUAUCAUUACAGGACAAUGAUACUAACUGCAAAGAGGAAGUAAGCUCAGUGCAAAAGUGCUGAUGUGACACUGGACCAGUGCAGAACCUGAUGUGUCUGCAUGCCUGUAAAUUAAACUGGCAACAAGUAGUGCAGAUAAAUUUAACCCUACUAAAAAACCUGUCAUAAAUCAGUGAUUUCCAUAUUGGAAAUUAUAUAAUGAAUGUCUUCAUAAUAUAUAAUGUGGCAGGGAGCUAUAUAAUGUCCUCUUAAUUAAAAUACAACCUCCAGGAUAAUUGCAUUAUUAUAACAAUCAUCCUUAAACAAAGGAUGUUCACUUUUUGAAUGCACCGUUUUAAAUAUGUUGCAUGUUUGUGGAACUCUUAAAUGUUGUAUUGGAUAUUUUUAAUAAAUAAAACACAAUGAAUUCUUAUCAGAGAGUUUGUGUGUUCAUGACAUUCAGCCAUCUUCGACUGCUCCUCAUAAUACAGUGUGAGGCAGUGCAGGAGGAGUCUUGUUUGACUUUAACUGAGGUAAAAAGGUAAGCUACCAUCAGCUCUGCCUGUUUUUAUCAGGGGGUUAUGAUGCAGUGAUGAUCAGAGAAAUUCCUGCUUAAAAGAAAU